ensembl:misc_RNA Y_RNA Y RNA
GGCUGGUCUGAUGGUAGUGGGUUAUCAGAACUUAUUAACAUUAGCAUCAAUAAAGUUGGUAUACAACCCCCCACUGCUAAAUUUGAUUGGCUUUAA